CCUACGGGAGGCAGCAGUGAGGAAUAUUGGUCAAUGGCCGGAAGGCUGAACCAGCCAAGUCGCGUGAGGGAAUAAGGCCCUAUGGGUCGUAAACCUCUUUUGUCAGGGAGCAAAGGCGUCCACGAGUGGACGAAAGGAGAGUACCUGAAGAAAAAGCAUCGGCUAACUCCGUGCCAGCAGCCGCGGUAAUACGGAGGGGGCAAGCGUUAUCCGGAUUUACUGGGUGUAAAGGGAGCGUAGACGGUUAUGUAAGUCUGGAGUGAAAGCCCGGGGCCCAACCCCGGGACUGCUUUGGAAACUGUGUAACUGGAGUACAGGAGGGGCAGGCGGAAUUCCUGGUGUAGCGGUGAAAUGCGUAGAUAUCAGGAGGAACACCGGCGGCGAAGGCGGCCUGCUGGACUGAAACUGACGUUGAGGCUCGAAAGCGUGGGGAGCAAACAGGAUUAGAUACCCUAGUAGUC
rnacentral:rRNA from 1 species